GACGUAGGGCGCGAGCGUUGUCCGGAAUUAUUGGGCGUAAAGAGCUCGUAGGCGGUCUGUCGCGUCUGCUGUGAAAACUCAGGGCUUAACCCUGAGCUUGCAGUGGGUACGGGCAGACUAGAGUGCGGUAGGGGAGACUGGAAUUCCUGGUGUAGCGGUGAAAUGCGCAGAUAUCGGGAGGAACACCAGUGGCGAAGGCGACUACCUGGCCUGUUCUUGACGCUGAGGCGCGAAAGCUAGGGGAGCAAACGGG
rnacentral:rRNA from 1 species